AAUGCUGACAUAAGUAACGAUAAAGCGGGUGAAAAGCCCGCUCGCCGGAAGACCAAGGGUUCCUGUCCAACGUUAAUCGGGGCAGGGUGAGUCGACCCCUAAGGCGAGGCCGAAAGGCGUAGUCGAUGGGAAACAGGUUAAUAUUCCUGUACUUGGUGUUACUGCGAAGGGGGGACGGAGAAGGCUAUGUUGGCCGGGCGACGGUUGUCCCGGUUUAAGCGUGUAGGCUGGUUUUCCAGGCAAAUCCGGAAAAUCAAGGCUGAGGCGUGAUGACGAGGCACUACGGUGCUGAAGCAACAAAUGCCCUGCUUCCAGGAAAAGCCUCUAAGCAUCAGGUAACAUCAAAUCGUACCCCAAACCGACACAGGUGGUCAGGUAGAGAAUACCAAGGCGCUUGAGAGAACUCGG
rnacentral:rRNA from 1 species